rnacentral:lncRNA from 1 species
UUUUUUUUUUUUUUUAAAUAUUUUAUUUAUUUAUUCAUGAGAGACACAGAGAAAGACAGAGAGAGAGGCAGAGGGAAAAGCAGGCUCCGUGCAGGCAGCCUGAUGUGGGAUUCGAUCCCGGGACUCCAGGAUCACGCUCCAAGCCAAAGGCAGGCGCUAAAUCACUGAGCCACCCAGGGAUCCCCUCUUUUCUUUUCGUAAAGAUUUUAUUUAUUCAUUCAUGAGACACACACACACACAGAGGCAGAGACACAGGCAGAGGGAGAAGCAGGCCCCCUGCGGGGAGCCCAGUGGGGUGGGCUCAAUCCCAGGACCCCAGCACCACCACCAGAGCCAAAGGCAGAUGCUCAACCACUGAGCCACCCAAGGCUCUGGUUUUCUUUAUAUAGAGAAUGGCUGAGUAAUAUUUAAAAACGAAUACUUUUCCUUUAGAAGGAAAUUAAGCAGGAAAUAGAAAAGGUUUUAGUCAUUAUUCUUUAAAUUACUGUAUCUCUUAGCUAAUUCACACAGGAAGCCUGAAAAUUAAGCAGCAUUAAAAUGUGAUGAGUCACUAGUGUAUUUUCCUGCUUGAUUUGAACCUGUUGUUCAUUUCAAUACUUCAUAAACAGUAGUUAAGCUUAAAGAUUAAAAAUAUGUACAUGUAUUUUAUCUUUGAGGCCAAAGACUUGUGAUGUUUAGCAGUGUCUGUAUAAAAAUAUAAAAUAUUCUAAGUAUUUAUUGUAUUUACUACAUUCUAACAGUUUGCUUUGUUAGCAAGGAAAUUUGUUAGGAAAUUAUACAAAUAUUAUAGUUUAAACAUAUACAUGGAUUUUGGGGAAAGGUACAGGCUGAGAUAAUAAAAGACAACAACUUCCAACUAACUACCUGAGGAUUAAAAUAGUAUUAAAUCAAUGAUUGCAAAAUACUAAAAUUAGGCAAAUAGGUAUAUUCAAUAUGUGGUUAAAACUCAACCACAUAUUAAAUAUGUCUAGGUACUUAGAGUGGGGAAACUUGAAUGUGUUUCUCUAUGAACAUUUUACUGAUAAGCUUUUAAAAAUCAAUUGACAAGAUAUAAUUUUUCAUGGAGAAAUUAUAAAAGAAUUAAUAACUCACAUGAAUGCAUAGUAUGUGCAAGGCACUAUUCCUAGAACUCUAUAGGUAAUG